rnacentral:rRNA from 1 species
CGGGAGGCAGCAGUGGGGAAUAUUGCACAAUGGGGGAAACCCUGAUGCAGCAACGCCGCGUGGAGGAUGACACAUUUCGGUGCGUAAACUCCUUUUAUAUGGGAAGAUAAUGACGGUACCAUAUGAAUAAGCACCCGGCUAA